rnacentral:tRNA from 1 species
UCCAACGUAGCUCAGUUGGUAGAGCAGGUGACUGUUAAUCACCGGGUCGUAGGUACGAGCCCUACCGUUGGAG